rnacentral:rRNA from 1 species
ACGCUGGCGGCGUGCUUACACAUGCAAGUCGAACGCUGAAGCCCAGCUUGCUGGGUGGAUGAGUGGCGAACGGGUGAGUAACACGUGAGUAACCUGCCCUCUUCUUUGGGAUGACGCCCGGAAACGGGUGCUAAUACUGGAUAUUCACUGGCCUUCGCAUGGGGGUUGGUGGAAAGGUUUUUUCUGGUGGGGGAUGGGCUCGCGGCCUAUCAGCUUGUUGGUGGGGUGAUGGCCUACCAAGGCUUUGACGGGUAGCCGGCCUGAGAGGGUGACCGGUCACAUUGGGACUGAGAUACGGCCCAGACUCCUACGGGAGGCAGCAGUGGGGAAUAUUGCACAAUGGGCGAAAGCCUGAUGCAGCGACGCCGCGUGAGGGAUGGAGGCCUUCGGGUUGUAAACCUCUUUCGCUCAUGGUCAAGCCGCAACUGUGGGUUGUGGUGAGGGUAGUGGGUAAAGAAGCGCCGGCUAACUACGUGCCAGCAGCCGCGGUAAUACGUAGGGCGCGAGCGUUGUCCGGAAUUAUUGGGCGUAAAGGGCUUGUAGGCGGUUGGUCGCGUCUGCCGUGAAAUCCUCUGGCUUAACUGGGGGCGUGCGGUGGGUACGGGCUGACUUGAGUGCGAUAGGGGAGACUGGAACUCCUGGUGUAGCGGUGGAAUGCGCAGAUAUCAUGAAGAACACCGGUGGCGAAGGCGGGUCUCUGGGCCGUUACUGACGCUGAGGAGCGAAAGCGUGGGGAGCGAACAGGAUUAGAUACCCUGGUAGUCCACGCUGUAAACGUUGGGCACUAGGUGUGGGGGCCACCCGUGGUUUCUGCGCCGUAGCUAACGCUUUAAGUGCCCCGCCUGGGGAGUACGGCCGCAAGGCUAAAACUCAAAGGAAUUGACGGGGGCCCGCACAAGCGGCGGA